UACGUAGGGACCGAGCGUUGUCCGGAAUCAUUGGGCGUAAAGAGCGUGUAGGCGGCCACUUAAGUCCUGCGUGAAAUCUUGCGGCUCAACCGCAGGCGGUCGUGGGAAACUGGGUGGCUAGAGUGCGGGAGAGGAGAGUGGAAUUCCUGGUGUAGCGGUGGAAUGCGCAGAUAUCAGGAAGAACACCCGUGGCGAAGGCGGCUCUCUGGAACGCAACUGACGCUGAGACGCGAAAGCGUGGGGAGCAAACAGG
rnacentral:rRNA from 1 species